UGUUUUUUGUUUUUUUUUUUUUUUUAACCUUAACCUGUUUUAAACUGCCUUUUCCUGGGAACUGGGAUGCAAUUAAAAUGUAGAAAGGCUUAUUUAAAUGAAACUACUUUAAAUAUGCUGAUUUUUUUUUUUUAAGUAAAAGCAGAAGCACUUUUAUGCAUAGAGACAGAAAAAUGGAACAAGUUGGUUAUUACACGUGGCCUUCACUUAAUCCUGUUUUACUUAAACCUAAAUCAUUUUGUGAACUUGAGCUGUUUGGUCUCUCCUGGUAAUAUCUUAAAGCUGGUUUGUGGUCAGAAAAAGUCUCAUGGAUUGAUCCAUUCUGAAAUUUGUUUUCUUUUUUUUGACUUACAAGGGGAAUUUGUCCAGGAGCGAUGCUCGGCCUCCGGUCCUGUGCAGCUCUUCACGCUGGCUAGCCUCGUCUCCGUGACACUGAUGCAGCUUCUCUCGCCAUGAGCUGAGCAGCGGCAUUUCAAUUAUGAGCUAAUAUUUCAUAUUUGAUAUCUAUGCAGCAACUCGCAGAGCUAAAUAAUUGAACUUCCCUAUGGCCCAAGCAGGCCAGGAGUCAGACGAGCUUCUUCAGACGUGAGCUCUGCCGGCUUAAAAGAUUUGCCGGCACAACGGUUGCUACCUGCGCGUCCCUUCCGUAGCAGAAACCACAGUGCUAAUCAAUAACAGCUCAGCCGUGGCUGGGUAGAUCACAUUAACCUUUGGGAAUUGCACCGAGGUUUCUUUUCUGUGAAGCCUUUCAUUUUCAAAGUAGAAAAACGUCUCAUUCGUGGCAGUGAACAGACCCGCAGUUUGCUCCCAGCUGGUCCAUUAGGGGAAGACAGCCCUGAGUAAGCAUGACUUCUGGAGUCAGUUGUGUCAGAGACUUGUUGAAACUAUUCAAAUAUUUGUUUAAAUAGUCUAUUUUCCUCCAAAUGUUGAUCCAGGCGGUGGAAAUAAGCUGGCCUGCUUUAUUUUCUGGCUGCUGUUUGUUUGCACGAUGCUGUCACGUCGGGUGUCAGCGUUUGCCGAGGGGGUUUCCAAAGGCAGAUGUAGCGUCUUCAGCCCCACCGAAGCCCCUCAGCGAGCUGCUAGGGGAGGUUAGGGCGACUUGCUGCAGUUGUGUGACACCCGCUGUGCGCGUUCACUCUUUUCUGUCCAGUUUCUUGUUGCUCAGGCCAGCGAGAGCCCAAAACUUUGUGGUGAACUUGAGGCCCCUUAAUGGUGGGUUCAAGUUUACCAUUUUGGAGCUUGAUUUCUGUAACUUCUCAUAGGGAACUGAGACAAAAAGCAGUCUUACAGCAAAGAAAUUUUAGAGCUGUUAUUAAGAAAAUCUCUGAGGGAGGAUGAUGAAGCACAGAAAGAUACUACGGAGGGACGAUGCACAACUCGUACUGGAGGCUUUUGAGAGCUGGCUGGAAACCUGAGCUAGGUUGUACCAAUCCAGUAACGGGGCAAGAAUCUGGACCAAGGCCUCAAAGAAAUCAUCCUUUCAGUCCUAUAACUUUACGCAUCUGCCAGCUCGGUCCAACGCUGCUUUGAAUUGGUUUGUUCUCUCAGCUGCAGGCUCGGCAGCGACGACCGUCAGGAUGUCCUGCCCCUCCAUCGGCAAGAUCUUCCCAGGAAUAACUGCAAAGGCAAAAGCCCCCUUCACCUUUGCCAUCUGCCUCUUUUCUGUGUGAUCCAGUUGGUGGUUGUCUUGAUGGUGAGAAUGACUCACAAGUAUGUAAUUGCAAGACAAAUAUUUAAUUAAGAGCGAUUUCAUCGCUAGUCUCUUAUCUGCUUCUGCCUGGAAACAGCGUGGGUAUGUUGGUAGUCUCAGCAGCCUGGAUCAGGGCCCUGAUGACCCAAUUCUGCACCAUUUCUGAAAGCAAGGGAGUAAACUAAACAAAAAUAAUACCGGGAGCCUGCUGGCUCCAGUUCCCCAUUGCUUCCACGCGAGCGGGCACUCACGCAUGUGCCCGCCUCUCCUGGCUGUUGGUACCAUGCUGGGGAGGGGAGCUGUUUGCUUUUGACAUCAGUUUGUCACAGAAUUCAACUCAAAAGCAAACUUCCCACUUGUAAACUUGUUUUUUUGCUGCCCGUCCGUCCUCAAGCAAUGUAAUGAAUGAAUGCAGAGAUGACAUUUAACCGCAGGUCUAAAAUAGUAAUAUGUUUUUAUAAAAUUGUGCUGUUGAAUAAUUUCAGGCAUAAUUUAAGUCAAAAUUACAUUUAGAGUUUUCUCUCUCUUUUACUAUGCGCAGUAAUGUAUUUGCAGCAUCUUAGAGGGCUUUUAAAACCCCUCAAAUGUGGUGCUAAGGCUCGUUGUUUAAAUGUGUCUGGGUAAAGAGGCUGUAAAUUGUUGGCUCGUUCAGCCUCCCAGGAAAACUAGGCAAUGGGAGUGCAACGCGGACUGCUUGGUGGCCCCGUAACCUGCCUUCAUGUGGGGAAUAGCUUCAAAAAAAUGCAUCCUACCAUCGCUCCGAACUGAUCCCGGCGCCUGUGACAGAGUUGGCUCGCUGCAUUAUAAACGUAGGCUGUCAAGCAUCAUUUUCUUCCAGUUGCCGCUUGGCUGCUGAAGGAGAGGGCGGCUCCGGGGCAAGGCCAGGGGCCCGCAACAGGCUGCAACCCACCGGCGCCGGGAGCCGAGGAUGCGGUAAUGCGCUAACGUUAGCCCGUGUUAUCCUAACGAUCCUUGUUUGCAGGCAGGACGCUGCCUACGGUUCUCGCGUGCGGUGUUUCUGCCACGUCCAGCCUCCGCGGGUGCAGCCGGGGCCGGCAUGAUGCUGCGGCGCUCGGUGCCCAGCUCUCCUGCUGAUCCCCUCGCGUCCGCUUCUCCCAGCAGCUGCAAAAUUUGGGGGUUUGCUGGGAACUUUUCAGCGUUUCUUUGAGUGGAUGAUGAAGCGGGUGAUGAGGCAGAACGAGAGCAAUUUCACUGCUUCUUUAAAAUCCCGAGAAUGACGAAAUGGGCCCCUUUCCCAUGCGAAGGUUAACGGCGCCGAGGUGCUUUGGCUGUGUAAUCAUCUUGGGCCGCGCGCUCGCGGGAUCAAGCGGUGUUUCCUCUUGCCUUGGGAAGGGCUGAGCUCUCCAUCAGGCACUUAAUUUGCAACAGCUCGCCCGAGCUCCCCGGCCCCAAAUUAUCACCGAUGACUUGAAGUUACCAAUAUUUUGCGCUGCAGUGAGAACCGCAAGACCCUCAUGAGUCUCUCGGGCUUGUUAGCAUUAAUGCUUAAAGUGUUUCAUCAGCACGGAUUAGUAUUAUUAUCCCUACUUUACAAACGGAAAACGAAUCGUCAUGGUAUCAAAUCACUUCCCUCAGGCCUCACACUGAGCGGAGGGUAGACGUAGCAAUGCAAACCAAAGUGCUUUCUCUGUGAUUCCUGGCUUUUCCCCGCGACAGGGAGACUUUUCCUGAUUAAGGUUGACCGAGGCUCUUGGAAAGCCGCAGGAAGCUUUCGUUAGGCAACAUCGCUACUGCAACAUACUCCAAAGCACGGAAAAAAAUGGGAAACGGCACUUUUCCAGUCGGCCACUUGAGCUGCUCCCUGCUUUCCAGUCGCUUGCAGAUGUCGCUGCAGGAGCCUUUCCCGUGUCCCGAACAGCUGCGUGCAGCUGGGUGUCACUCACCUGCAGGUCAGAUGCGCUCCCUUUCCCCCUCCUUUCGCUUGUUGUCAGCCCUGUAUCCGUGUUACUUAUUAACCUCGGGAAGCUCACCUGGAAAUACGGAGUAUGUGGGAGAGGGUCUCCCAAAUGAGGCUUGUUUUGCUGGAAGAGCUUGCGGGGCUCUUGAGCGCGCCAAGCCCAGUUCGCCCCGUGCACCCCCAGCACAACCUGCCGGGCUCGCGGGCUCUCUGGAAGCGGCCACGUGGCAGGCGGGAGAACUGGGUGUUUCUCAAAUCCUGCCUGGGGUUCCUGGCUCUAAGCAGGAGAAAACCCAGCAGAGCACCCUUUGGUUUAGCAGCUGAAAACAUACGAUAUGGAGGUGUCAGGGAACACAAAUCUGCCGUGUCUAGAGAGCCGUUUUCGAGAGCGGAUCAAGCUUAAAUGCAGUUCUUCGAAGGUGCUUCGGAGUCGUGGUUAAUAAUAUUGGUAAGUGCUCAUGGCUUUCGUGAAGGAUCAUUUUCACUCUGAGGGAAAUAAGCUGCUUAGGGCUGCUGAAAUUAUGCUGGGAUGGUCCCUAGUAGUUGGAGCAGCCCGAAUGGCUCCAGCGAAAGUCCAAAGCGUCUCCUCCCUGUUGGCCACCCAGCCUCACACGGGGACUGGGGACCCCAGAUUCUUCCCCGGCCCAAUUUCAUGUGUUACUCAGCCAGGUGAGAUCAUUUUGGGAGCAGCCACAUCCCUCCUAUCCGCAAGAACGUCCUGGUGUUCAACCAGGCCCUUUACAUCUGCUGGAGGCCACGUGCUCAUCGCCGACCCAAAGUCUCCUUGUAGGUGUGGGAGAAGGAGAAUGUCGCCAACAGAAAACUAAUCGCAGUCUCAUUUUUUUCCCCUUCUAGCUAUUUUUAAGCAAUAAGGAGAGCAGGGUAACCUUUGAGUUAACCUUUAACGGCGUUCUGCCUCUGAAUGAAAGGUGCGAUCACACGUCUUGGCAAAGCAUUCAUCCCCCAGAGGGGAAUUAGGUUUGCCUGUUCAGUGCAGCAGUGCCAGCUGCAAGCGCCCCGCGCGGAGGGUUUUUUUCCAAAGGAGCCACGUAGGUGGUGCAUCAUAACUUAUUCAUGGUUUCUCAGAGAAGAUGCAGGCCAGUGAAUCCCGAAAGGCCAGAACGAGGGCGCGUAAGAGUCUAACCUUCCAUUAACUAAAAAGCAAUUUCAUUUGCAGUCUGAAUCCGAGCGGAGCUCUUGGUGGGGCAGCUCUGCAAUUCUGGUGCUUGCUCAGCGCUGUGCCUAGACGUUGGUGUAGCAAUUCAAGGCUGGGCUGCUUUGUACCAAGCUGCAGCCAACUUUUCUCCUGAGACUGAGGGGGAAAAAAUGGGAAAAAAGCUCGCAGAACGUGGGCUUUGCAGAGCUGCGUGGUGUGGAUGGUGACUCUGGGCGUCGCAGCCCAUCCAAACCAUUGAACUGUCUCAACUGUGCUGAUGAGACCCACUGCUGCACCCAACUCCCCCCAGCACCAGCCACCAAGGGCCUUUCGUGGCUGUUUUGUCCACUAAACUCUCAAUAUUCUGAUACAAAUGCACUUCAUAGGCUUCUAGUCCCUUCGUCUCUGUGUUGCUGAGCCGAAGCUCACGCAGCAGCUAUCAGAAAUCUGUUUCGUAUUUUCAAGAGACUUCUCCGUUCUUCUAAAUCCUUGAUUACUUUGUUCCGGCUGCUCGUGCCAUGCCUAAUAUCACUCAAAUAGCUCACUUUCAGGCAAAUUAUCUUGAUUAAUGAUGGAGCCCAAAUACAAAACUCCCCAGCCUAUUCAAGCUCUUGUUUUCCAUUAGAAUAAAACAGUUUUGCUGUGGCCCAGUUUUUGUCUCAGAUGUAAAGUGAGAGUCCCUGCUCUUUUCCUGGAGUAUGCAACCUCCAGCUAAGUCACACUGCUCCUCAGAUGAUAAGAUGGACAAAAUUUUACUGUCUGAGGACUUCAAAUCACAGCCUGGCACAUCGUACCGAUGUUCUCUGGGAUCCUCCAGCACCUUCCUCCUCCUCCUCCUCAUCUCUGCUGAGCGGAGAAGGUGCUAGCAGGCUCCCUGCCUUUACUGCUUGCCCAUUUGCUAACUUGUGUUGGUUUUGCAGGUGAUUCUCAGUUGCAGCAGACCCCAUGUCAUCAUCUGAGCCUGUCAAGAACAUCUUCUCGGUUUGCUCUGGGAAGGAAGCGCCCAGAUGCCUGAUCCUCUGUCUUUUCUUGCUUCCACUGACAGCGGUGUUGAGGUUUGACGCUUGCUGCCUUAUGUGUCUUCUGCGUGCUAUCCUCACUUCCUAGCUGAGAUCUCAAGCUGAAUUUUUCCUUUAAUCUUUCUGAGCGCUACCGUCAGCAUUGCCCUUCCUGCGUUGCUCUAAUUCCUGCGGUCCUUCUCUGGGCUGCCGCAUCGGAGCCCAGAUGUAUUGCAUUUCAGAAACCAUCUUCAUGAUGCAAACCUGGUGUUACACAAAGGAAGGAGCCUUGAUGGACACUGCUUGGCCAUGGAGCCUCGGUGCGCUCAGUAGCUGCCUGCAUCUGCUUGCCAGCAGUGAAAGUCCUUUGGAGGGGAGUUUUCAGUCCAUAUCAUGCAAAAAAAAAAAAAAAAGCGCCCUCUCAUCCAGGGGCUGCUGGAGGCCUCAGGAGGGUCUGGCUGGGGCUGGGUCUGGCUGGGGCCGGCUCUGCCUUUCCAAAACGAGCUCUCCGAGCAGCCUCUCUCGCCUGCUUUGCAGGUAACCGAGGUGGCUGAUCCCAGGCUGGAUUUGCCACACAAGCGGCACAGCGGCAUUGCCUGGAGCCAGGGCAGCAGAUGGGAGGAUGAGUGAAGGGUUUCACUUGCUUCCCCUCUCCACUCUCAUCUGUGGAGCUUUUCUGCUUUGCCGGAGCUCAGCCGGAGGCUUGGCGCGAGGAGCGCCUGCCGCUGCAUCCCCCUGCCUGUCUUGGGGACUAGAAACUCCCUUAGAAAACUGCCUUUUUUUAUGAGAAGUAGCGCUGCUGUAUUUUCACCCGGCGCUGCUAGGGGACAUGGCUGGUUUUCAUCCACGCAGCAAUCUGUUCCAGAGUUAACCUGCGAUGGAGGCGAGCUGCCUGCCCUCGGCGGUGGCAGCCGAGAUGCUGCCAGCCAGCGCUUGCCUCCUCCUUGAAGCUGCUGCCGCAGCUAUUUGGACAGACCGAUGGCCAUUUUCUCUAGCGACCAGACUGUGGCAAUGGCCAGCUUCAGGCAGAGGUACAGCAAUUGCAGUUUUGAAGCAGUUGUCUCAGACGAUCCAUCCCCCAUUUGUUAGCGGUCCUGCAAGCUGUAAAGUUGUACAGUUGGCAUCACUUCCAAAACACCUUUUUAAGCCUUAAAAAAAAAAAAAAAAAAAAAAAAAUCAGAGUUAGAAUGGUAAUGCAGGUAAAUGGCCAUUCUUGGGGGAAAAAAACAAGCAAUCCUUGCUUUGCACUUGGCUUCGGCUCUUUCUCACAUUAAAGUAUUCCCGGGAAAUGCUUGCGAAGGGCUGCGUGCUCUGUCGGAGCAGCUCCUCUCAGAGGCGAUAGCCGCCUUCCCCCAACCACAGCGCUUAGGGUCAUUUCAGAACCGAACUUGCACAUGUUCAAACAGCGCUUUCAUGAUCAUCCAUCAAGGCCGCUGUCCUCACCCUGUCUGCCAGCCACGCGCCGCAGCCAUGCAAAGCCGGCCCUCCUAAUUGGUACCUCCGGGAAGCUGCUCCCACUCUGAAGUAUGCUCUGCUUUAAUUAAUUGGUAGAAUAAGCUGUUAAUAGGCAGACCUUGACAAACUCUCCUUUUUAUUAGCCCUCUGCUUUCCACGCUUCUCCCAUGUAAUCUGGAGCGACGCUUUCUGGACAUCGGUGAAGGAGAUGGUCCGGGUGCGUGUUUCCUGCAGGCUCAGUCCUGCAAAGGAGCAAGAACAGCAGGGCAAAAAGCUUAAAUGCUGGUGCAAGUGCGUGAGCUGUUCCCGGGAUAACGCCGCUGCUGGGAGCCAAGGCUCGUUCAAACUGCUGCAAGGGAUCUGCACCAGCGGGCCACAAACUGCUGGUUUGAGGUCUCAUUAAUUAACCCGGUCGUGGGCUGGCCUCGGCAAGUGGGGGACGGCAGCGUCAAAGGAGAAACAGCUGCUUCUGGAAAGAAAAACAUGGUGAUUUCCCUUCUUACGGCUGGAUUUCUCGGCUACGGAUGUGGACGCUUGGAGAAACCCAGCCGGCAGCCGGCUGUGUCCACAGCCUUCCCUCCCUCGUCCGCUCCAGCAGCCUGGGAGACUCACGCUCCCGAAAGGCUGGUUUUACUUGGCGUAAAAAGUAAUAGCAGGCUGCGGAAGACGGUAAAAGCGUAGGCGUGCGAAGAGCGAUCGCUCUAGCAGUGAAACCCCCUGUACCGGGGAAGUUGUGACAAGUUGCUUCCCAGGGAUUUACAAAGGUGGCUGCCUACGACAUGAAAAAGGCUUCAUUUCCUUUUUUUCUUUGCUUUGGCAGUUUUAGGUCGGUUUAAUAAGACAGAGCAGGAAAAAAAGGAAACCUUGAAAGAAGCUGAUGCCAAAUUGAUGACAGUUUGGGAAAUCAAAAGCUUUGCUGCUGAAUAUCUUUGCUCCUGAUCUGAACGCAGGAGCAGGCUGAACUGCUUCACAGACGCCCCGCUCGGCCGCGUUAUCCAGCCCCGCAUUCACUGCAGCUCCUCAGCGUCUCAGACCUUUCUUCCUCCAUCUAGUUUUCCAUCCUUCACAGAGGAGCUGGAUGCACCAUGCUGCCCUGGAGACCCCUCCCAGGGGGUUUCCUCACGGGGCCGAGGCUGGGAGGAUGCAGCGGAGAAUUAACACUGCUCCAGCUGCACAUAAAGCUGCUGGGGAGAAAACCACUUACUCUAAAAGACGGACGGGAUGCAGAUCCUGGGCUGCCCCGUGUCAGAGCCAGACGGGACGUGGCUGCUUCCUUCCCUCGUCCCCACGCCUGAGAGCCGGGUUGCAGAGCCUGGAGCAGCCCAUAGAGGACAACCUGCUUCUCCCCAGGCUGCUUUUCUCUCCUCUCCUCGGCAGAGGUCUGCGAGGCUGCAGGUCCUGCUCUGCACCAGGGCCUUGAGACCGCUUCGCCCAACAUCGAGGAGCUGCAUGAAGAUUUCAGCAUCCAGGUAGCCUUUCCCUCUCAAGUCUGGCAUUAUUUCCACUGAGUCCCGAAUAUUAGCUGGAGCUGAGCCUAUUCUUUCUGACACAAACAACUUGAUGAGCACCGAAUUUGUGCUGGAAACACGAAGCCAGAUUCAGCCUGGAUGGGCUGGGUCCAAGCACGAGGAGGGACGUAGCCGUCGGGUGGGACGAGCAUGGGAGACGUGGGGGACAGCGGGUCUCCAGCUCGCCGGAGCACAGCUCUUGCUUGACUCGCAGGCUUUUGUAGGCACCUACGUGCCGGCAUCCGACUCCUCCUUGGCUAGACCAUGUUUAUCUACAAUAAACCGGAAUCAAGCAAGGAAGAACCGAA